AACGGUAACAGGUCUUCGGAUGCUGACGAGUGGCGGACGGGUGAGUAACGCGUAGGAAUCUGCCCAUUUGAGGGGGAUACCAGUUGGAAACGACUGUUAAUACCGCAUAAUAUCUGUGGAUUAAAGGCGGCUUAGGCUGCCGCAGAUGGAUGAGCCUGCGUUGGAUUAGCUAGUUGGUGGGGUAAGGGCCUACCAAGGCUACGAUCCAUAGCUGAUUUGAGAGGAUGAUCAGCCACAUUGGGACUGAGACACGGC
rnacentral:rRNA from 1 species